rnacentral:ncRNA from 1 species
UAGACAAAAGCAAAACCACAGUAAUGUGGUGACGCAAAGCUAUAGGGUCUUUAUAAGAGAAGACAGCCAGUUGCCAA